rnacentral:rRNA from 1 species
GACGUAGGGCGCGAGCGUUGUCCGGAUUUAUUGGGCGUAAAGAGCUCGUAGGCGGCUUGUCGCGUCGUCCGUGAAAACCUGUGGCUCAACUGCAGGCUUGCGGUCGAUACGGGCAGGCUAGAGUUCGGUAGGGGAGACUGGAAUUCCUGGUGUAGCGGUGAAAUGCGCAGAUAUCAGGAGGAACACCGGUGGCGAAGGCGGGUCUCUGGGCCGAUACUGACGCUGAGGAGCGAAAGCGUGGGGAGCGAACAGG